UCACUUUAGAUUUAUUGCGCGAUUGACUACGUCAAGAUUCAUCUAGAUAUUCACCGCUUCCUAUUCUUCUCCUUUCUUUUCUUGCCACGUGCAUCUCUCCCAUGUCCAAAAUUCCCCCACGUCUUUGGCCCUCCUCGAGGACCAUGGCGGCCUGGAUGCAAGGCUGAAGACGCCAUGCGUGUCGAUUUCGCCGCCGGAGCGGAGGACGGUAAUGGAGAAGGCCAUCCGGAGGACGACCCAGCAGGGGUCGUGGCCGUCGAUGCCCUGGUGCAGCCACACCCGGACCCGCCCUCAGCGGAGCGAGCGGGACAGGCCGAUGAGGAGCAGCGCGAGGAUGGGGCGAGAUGCCAUCCGAGCAGAUCGUAGCCUCGCUGCUCGCUGCUCCAUCACAAGGUGUGCAACCCGACUCCAACUCCCCCACCCAGGUUUCUCAUAUUCCUCACCCACAUGAAUAAAUCCUCUUCUUGUGAGCAAUUGGAGCACUUCAUACGGACAGCUCUAUAUCUUGGUGUUAGUCUAACCGCCAAUCCACUCAUGGGUAGUAAUAUAUUGAGCCCUGAUGUGGCUCUAUAUCUUGGUAUUGGUCUUUUUUUUGGGGUAACCUCAGGUCUUGGUUAGAAGAAAGGAGGAGGUCCGCAUAGACAUGAAUCAAGAUAGUGUAUAAUGCCAUAAGUAUGUUGAUUACAAAUUAGCCUGCUGUUCCAGAGUAAGUUUUUUUUUUUUUGAAUAGUAGCCACAAUAAGUUCAGACAUUUGGUAUUUUCAAAUUGCAUAGGGGUCAUGUAAGGAUAGGACUAACUUAUGAAAAAUUGUAGUUACCAUGGUAUAGAUUAAAGGAACAAUCAAUUUAUAAACCACUAAACAUUACAUAUGACAUAUGACUUUUAGAAGAGCGUAUGAACUAGACAUGCAUUUCUAAACAAGAAAAUAUCUUUCCAACUACUACUCAACUUUGCCCUUUUGCAUUUCAAGAUCAGACAGAUACAUUGUGGUUUAAUUGUAGUUUCAUCUACUAAUUUGGUGGUAACAUGAUAUCAAGGAGUAGUUGUAAAUAAUUUUGAUUUCACAGGGAGGCUACAUACAGAUAUAUGUUAAUACCUGAAAAUUGUUCCAGUGCUCAAGGAGAUGUACCUACCUGUUGUUUGGUGUAUCGGUUUGUCAUUUUCAGCCCAUCACAUUUCUACAUAUCAGCUUAGUGGUAGCCUACUAAUAUUAAUUAUAUUGUCGCAUCUUCAGAGAAGCUAUCAGCAGCAUACUUCAUUGUCAGUGCGAAGAGAGGGCCGUCCAACGACUUCAAGAUGUUGAUUCCUUCGGUGUUGAGAGAUGGUUGGAGUUAGGGGGGCGUCCAAAUUAUUCACCAUGUUUUCCUUUGUAACUUUGCAAAUUUGAACAUGCCUUUAUUGCAAGGGAACACCAUGUCAACUACGGUUAGAUGGUCAUACAAAACAGUUGCAAUUGCAGCUUCAUUAUUAGCGAGCUAGGCUAAUAUGAGCUUUGGCAAACUUACGGGUACGUAUGGAGUGAUGAGGAGACAGGGAGGGUGCCAAAACUGGUUUUACUUGGUUCUUAGAACUGAGGAUACCUCCAUGUUUCAUAACUUGCCAUUAAUGGUUAUCUACCUAUUUUUUUACUUGCAGCUAUGUUUUUGAGGAAUCAUUCGACGCGCUUGCGAGAUUGUAUGGUUCAUUGUUACCAGCUAUGUUGUUGAACUAUACUUUAUAAUUGUCUAUUUUCCAUACCGUCUGCCUUGCUAUUUUAAUUCUGUAAUUAUUUGUUUCAUGUAGACAUGAAGUGAUGAACAAUAGUUGAUCACUUGAAAUGCCUAUCUUCGUACAGUACCUUGCUAUUUUUGUUCUGCAAUCAUGUAUUUCACAUACAGAUGAAAUAAACUUGAUCACUUCAAGUUUCUAUCUACGAUAUGUGGCCUUGCUGUUUUAGUUCCCUGAUGAUCUCACGUGAUGCAUCAAAUAGAAGACAUAAGGGAUAGCAAGUUUGCUACACAUACCUUGAAAAUAGUAAUGCACGUUACCUGUGGACUUAAUGGUGCAUUUUGAUUCCUGCCUGUUGCCUAGCACUUUCCUUCAUUUUAUUUGCGAAAAUUGUUUAUCCUCUGACAAUCGUUCACUCUUCGGCAAUUGUUGCAGCUAAGUCAUCCCAAUGAUUUAUGUGUUCGCAACAAGCUUGCAAGAGUCCCAACUCUCGGUUGAAGGAACUCAGCAACAGAGUCAGAUUUUCCUAGCCACUACAAUAUAUCACCUUGACUGCCUUCGCCCUUCACAGGGAUGAUUGUUCUCUCAUGGCUUUUGGUACCAGUAAACAGCAGCUGAUGUAAAUGGCUCGUGGGUUGACAAGCUAAACACGAAAGAUUCAGAGCUCAAGCCACUUGAUGCAUUUGGUUCCCAUGUAGGGGGCAUUUCGCCACAUUUUCGUUUUGUGUACAUCUCUAGGUGUCGACCGGAAAACUAUCUUCUCCGUACAUCUCUCACUGCAUUGUAUUCUCCUGUGUAUCUGCGAACCAGUGUAUAAAAAUUUAGCUUUCCUGGUUCCCAUUUUAGUUCUACUUUCCCGUUGUUAGUAAGAGUUUGUAUGACCACUCACGCUAGGGCUCAACUGAAUAGAACUGC